rnacentral:ncRNA from 2 species
GGCGUAACUGGAUGCGACGGUUCCCCGAGGAAGGCUUCGAGGGGAUUAAUAGGGAACACGGUGAGGACGACCCAAAAGGGACCUAGACCGUGGCUGCCCCCGCAACUGUAAGCGGAUUGCCGAUCAUCCCGGGUGCGACCAGCCUGCUGGCCGCCUCAGGUGGCUUCAGGGCCAUGCCACUGCGAAGACAAAUCGCGGGAAGGCAGAUGAUCGUCAGACAUUCGCGAGCCAGGAGACCUGCCGUCGAUCACGAUCCAAU